rnacentral:rRNA from 1 species
UACGUAGGGGGCAAGCGUUGUCCGGAAUCAUUGGGCGUAAAGAGCGUGUAGGCGGCUCGAUAAGUCUGCUGUGAAAGUCCAGGGCUCAACCCUGGAAGGCCGGUGGAAACUGCCGGGCUAGAGUCCGGAAGAGGCGAGUGGAAUUCCCGGUGUAGCAGUGAAAUGCGUAGAGAUCGGGAGGAACAUCUGUGGCGAAGGCGACUGCCUGGACCAGCACUGACACUGAGGUGCGAAAGCGUGGGGAGCAAACAGG